rnacentral:rRNA from 1 species
UACGUAGGGUGCGAGCGUUGUCCGGAAUUAUUGGGCGUAAAGAGCUUGUAGGCGGUCUGUCGCGUCUGCUGUGAAAAUCCGGGGCUCAACCCCGGACUUGCAGUGGGUACGGGCAGACUAGAGUGUGGUAGGGGAGACUGGAAUUCCUGGUGUAGCGGUGAAAUGCGCAGAUAUCAGGAGGAACACCGAUGGCGAAGGCAGGUCUCUGGGCCACUACUGACGAUGAGAAGCGAAAGCAUG